rnacentral:rRNA from 1 species
UACGGAGGGAGCUAGCGUUGUUCGGAAUUACUGGGCGUAAAGCGCGCGUAGGCGGCCUUGCAAGUUAGAGGUGAAAGCCCGGAGCUCAACUCCGGAACUGCCUUUAAAACUGCAUAGCUUGAAUCCGGGAGAGGUGAGUGGAAUUCCGAGUGUAGAGGUGAAAUUCGUAGAUAUUCGGAAGAACACCAGUGGCGAAGGCGGCUCACUGGACCGGUAUUGACGCUGAGGUGCGAAAGCGUGGGGAACAAACAGG